rnacentral:rRNA from 1 species
UAAUACGUAGGGGGCAAGCGUUGUCCGGAUUUAUUGGGCGUAAAGAGCGUGUAGGCGGUUUGGUAGGUCCGCUGUGAAAACUCGAGGCUCAACCUCGAGACGCCGGUGGAAACCAUCAGACUAGAGUCCGGAAGAGGAGAGUGGAAUUCCUGGUGUAGCGGUGAAAUGCGCAGAUAUCAGGAAGAACACCCGUGGCUAAGGCGGCUCUCUAGUACGGUACUGACGCUGAGACGCGAAAGCGUGGGGAGCGAACAGGAUUAGAUACCCUGGUAGU